AUGGCCGGCGCAGAACUCCUCGGGACUAUGGUGGCCGGAGGAAGCGGGCGCGCUCCCGUGAAGAAGGCGACGGGACCGGGGAGCUGCGCGGCUACCUGCAGCGGGCGGCGGAGCACGUCCUCUACGGGGCUCCGGUGGCGCGGUCGGGCAUGUGCGAGGAGGAGGCGCUCGGCUGGGUCAACGGCGGCGCGAGGCAGAGUUGGACUUGGCAAGGGCGGCGCAGAGACUUGGUGGACGGCGACGUGCUCGGUGCGAGUCGUUCGUCCCUGGCAGAAGACGACGGGAGAGCAAGGUGAGCACGGGGAAGAAGAAAACGGGAGGAGACGACUGAGGAGAAGGGAGACGAGGCCGGUCGGGAGGUGCUGGUGGCUGUCGGCACGGCGCCGGUCGUCGGACGGCGGGGCGACGGGGAGGCCAGAGACGAGGCAGGAGGAAGUGGGGCGCUGCACUAUGGUGGUUGGCUCACCGGGGAAACAAGGAAGAGGGUGGAGGCUUGGCUGGGGCCUCGGGCGUGAGGAGAUCGGGAGCUGUGGUGGGUCGGUGGCGCAAUUCUAG
rnacentral:rRNA from 1 species